GACGAACGCUGGCGGCGUGCUUAACACAUGCAAGUCGAACGGAAAGGCCCUGCUUUUGUGGGGUGCUCGAGUGGCGAACGGGUGAGUAACACGUGAGUAACCUGCCCUUGACUUUGGGAUAACUUCAGGAAACUGGGGCUAAUACCGGAUAGGAGCUCCUGCUGCAUGGUGGGGGUUGGAAAGUUUGGGCGGUUGGGGAUGGACUGGCGGCUUAUGAGCUUGUUGGUGGGGUAGUGGCUUACCAAGGCUUUGACGGGUAGCCGGCCUGAGUGGGGAGCCGGCAACCUUGGGCCUGAGAGAGGCCCCAGACUCCAACGGGGGGCAGCAGUGGGGAAUCUUGCACAAUGGGCGAGAGCCGGAUGAAGCAGCGCCGCGGGCGGGAAGACGUCUUGCGGGGUGAAAACCGCUGCCGCCUGUGACGCAGCGGGAGUGACGGUAAUGGGUAAAGAAGCACCGGCUAACUACGUG
rnacentral:rRNA from 1 species